CAUGAUGGUAUUUUAGGCUCUUGAUACUCCAGGCAAGGUUUAAUCCCAAUUAUAUAUCUUUUAGGACCUUAGAACAAGCACAAAGUCGACGUGGGGGAUCUUUGCUUAGAGAGCUCCGCGUAUGGCUGCAUAACUUUUAGGUUACAUCGAUAUUGGUCUAAUUUAUUGAGGACCCAGAACUAAAAAACUCUCAUUUUUUUUACUUCCAUUUUCAAGGUGUACGGAAGAGAGAGAAAGAGAGAGGGGGGUUGCAAGGGUAGAGGAAGGACAGGUGCAGAGAUU
rnacentral:lncRNA from 1 species